AUUGAACGCUGGCGGAAUGCUUUACACAUGCAAGUCGAACGGCAGCACGGGGCAACCUGGUGGCGAGUGGCGAACGGGUGAGUAAUAUAUCGGAACGUGCCCAAUCGUGGGGGAUAACGUAGCGAAAGUUACGCUAAUACCGCAUACGAUCUACGGAUGAAAGCGGGGGAUCGCAAGACCUCGCGCGAAUGGAGCGGCCGAUAUCGGAUUAGGUAGUUGGUGGGGUAAAGGCUCACCAAGCCAACGAUCUGUAGCUGGUCUGAGAGGACGACCAGCCACACUGGAACUGAGACACGGUCCAGACUCCUACGGGAGGCAGCAGUGGGGGAAUUUUGGACAAUGGGCGCAAGCCUGAUCCAGCCAUUCCGCGUGCAGGAUGAAGGCCUUCGGGUUGUAAACUGCUUUUGUACGGUAACGAAACGGUACUGCCCUAAUACGGCAGGCGUAAUGACGGUACCGUAAG
rnacentral:rRNA from 1 species